UACGAAGGGGGCUAGCGUUGUUCGGAAUUACUGGGCGUAAAGCGCGCGUAGGCGGUGAUCUUUGUCAGAGGUGAAAGCCCGGGGCUCAACUCCGGAAUUGCCUUUGAAACGGGAUCGCUAGAGUCCGAGAGAGGAUGGCGGAAUUCCUAGUGUAGAGGUGAAAUUCGUAGAUAUUAGGAAGAACACCGGUGGCGAAGGCGGCCAUCUGGCGCGGUACUGACGCUCAGGCGCGAAAGCGUGGGGAGCAAACAGG
rnacentral:rRNA from 1 species